rnacentral:rRNA from 1 species
AGAAAGUUACUUCGGUACAUCGGUGACAGGUGUUGCAUGGCUGUCGUCAGCUCGUGUCGUGAGAUGUUCGGUUAAGUCCGCUAACGAGCGCAACCCUCGUCGUAUGUUAUAUGUGUCAUACGAGACUGCCGGUAAAAGCCGGAGGAAGGUGAGGAUGAUGUCAAGUCAGCAUGACCUUUAUAUCCAGGGCUACACACACGCUACAAUGGUCUGUACAAUGGGUAGCCAAGCCGCGAGGCGGAGCCAAUCCUGAAAGCAGGCCUCAGUUCAGAUUGCAGUCUGCAACUCGACUGCAUGAAGCCGGAGUUGCUAGUAACCGCAGGUCAGCAGUACUGCGGUGAAUACGUUCCCGGGUCUU